rnacentral:snoRNA from 1 species
GACGAUGAUGACGGAGAACUAAAUGCCCUUCCGGAUGAAAAGAAUUGCUUAGCUGAUAAAUGAGAUUUUUUCUUUUGUGACGAGUGCAAUCCUGAAG